GGGGGCAUGGUGGAUUAGUGGUUAGCAGGUUUGCCUCAUACCUACAGGGUUGGGGGUUCGAUUCCUGCCUCCUCCA